rnacentral:rRNA from 1 species
AUUGAACACUGGCGGCAUGCCUUACACAUGCAAGUCGAACGGUAACGGGCCUUCGGGUGCCGACGAGUGGCGAACGGGUGAGUAAUGCAUCGGAACGUACCUUUCAGUGGGGGAUAACGUAGCGAAAGUUACGCUAAUACCGCAUAUUCUGUGAGCAGGAAAGCAGGGGAUCGCAAGACCUUGCGCUGAUUGAGCGGCCGAUGUCAGAUUAGCUAGUUGGUGAGGUAAAGGCUCACCAAGGCGACGAUCUGUAGCGGGUCUGAGAGGAUGAUCAGCCACACUGGGACUGAGACACGGCCCAGACGCCUACGGGAGGCAGCAGUGGGGAAUUUUAGACAAUGGGGGCAACCCUGAUCCAGCCAUGCCGCGUGAGUGAAGAAGGCCUUCGGGUUGUAAAGCUCUUUCGGCCGGGAAGAAAUCGCACGGGCUAAUACCCUGUGUGGAUGACGGUACCGGAAUAAGAAGCACCGGCUAACUACGUGCCAGCCGCCGCAGUAAAAC